CCCUCACUCUCUCACUCGUCCUCUCUCACUCUCUCAGAAACAGCUCUGAAGAAAACUUCUCCCGCCAUUGAAACUCUUCCUCCGUUGAAGCAAGUAAGGUACUGAAGGACUUUCCUGUUGUCGCUGAAGCUGAAGUGAGGUCGUUGGCAUCAUUAUACUCUGUGGUGGGUAGAUCAGCAGAUGCAUUGGCUCCUUAUUUCGGAGAAGAUCCUGCACGCUGCCCUUUUGAGCAAGAUCAUAACUGAUACAAGCAAGACCAGAUCCAGCUAGUGAGAAUCCAGUUUCUGAAGAAACUGGUGGUUUAAGUGGGAAACUUCUAUUUGUCCUGGCAACCAACGUGCUCAGUUACAUGUGUCUCUUGACAAGGGCCCGCAUCAAGGAAGACUCUGUAUAGUGUAUGUCUAUGGUUGAAAGUAAAUGUCGUGCUGGAAUACACAAAGAGGUCCGUUUAUUGAGAGUUUGUAUAUUACAAUCCCAGAACACGCCAGAUUCGUCUUACUCACAGACAUCAACACAACAAGGCCAGUUACAGACUUCCAAAUCUUUCAUUCGACCCUCUCCUUAAUCAGGUAUUUCCAUCGCAGUUUUCACCUGGCAGUAGGUCAAGUGCCAGUUUCCUAGCCUCAGGUCCAGCAGACUGUCUCAGUUGCUCAACAACUGCUGAUGCCUCCGAACUUGCAACAAGGUAUCUCUGGUCCUGCUGGUAUUCACCAUAAGCAUCAAUUGCGUCAGCCUCCAUGCCAAUCCUCUUCUCAGAUAGCUGAGGUCCUGUCUCGGUAAACGCAAGCUUUACAAGCUAGCCUUCAGUCAUCAAAACAAGCAUUCUCUCAGCCACAACAAAAGUUGUAUAUGAUGCAGCAGUCUGGUUAAAAUCUAUCUCAGCAGCCGAAUGCCCAGGCAACUAAACUACAGUGAUGACGAAACUUUCCUAUGGUGGAUGGGGUACGAUGCAACAGAGACAUCGGGUUUUGUAAAGGAUAAGGAGGAUGAUUGCGAUGCAAUCUAGAGUAGCCCUGCUUGCAUCUCUGGAAAUGGAUGGUAUGAGUAAUAACAGAGUUGGUGGUGACCAUGUCUACUUAGAUGCGAAGUGAGGCAACUGUCUUGCUCCCAGACACACAGAAAACGUAAGUGGAAGCAAUGCAAUGAAAUCCGUUCUCCACGAGCACCAUUCUAACCGAAAACCUGCUGGAAUUUUGGUUUAUGCUUUUCAUUAUUUUUCUGGUAUUUAGCUGACUGCCUGGAGGACAGAUUUGGAGGAGUGCGAGAGAUUUACUCCUGCAUAUUUGAGUUCUUCAGGCUGCUGCUGGGGGAGCUUGAAUUGAAUCAAGAGUGUAAUGCUACCCGAUGAUCUCCAGAGGAAUUCAAACUUAAAGUUAUAGGAUUGUCGCGUAAGCAGAGGAGUUGAGCUCGCCAUGCAUUGAGAUCAGAUAUUAACUUACAAGUAGGAGUUUCUUAUAUUGAGUCUUCUCUUCUGAAACUAAACUAAGUUAAGAGUCUUGAUUGAAAUCUAGAGUAAAUGUGCCACAAGUGAUAAAAUGUUAUUGUUUCCUUCCCUUUCUUUUGUAAAAUAUCUUGAAUGUUUAAACAUAUAUCCUUGGACAUAUGAAUAUCAAUAUAAGUGGUGCAAAAUUUGUUUGGUUGA